AACUGCACUGUGAGUAUUUAAAAUUAAGUCAUUGUCUUUGUUUGCAUUGUACAUGGACUUGUCUAAACCUGCCUUUCAACCAAUCCGUCCUUGUGUCUGUCUCAAUCAACAGUUCAUCAGUAGAGUUCAGAGAAUCCUACAAAACACCAUUGGAAUGGAGUUUCAUUUUCAGUGAACCAAUGAACAACUCGAUAGACGUUUUCAAUAUUAUACACAAACUCACUACAACAAAUCAUCAUGCAUGUUUAUGUGACCAUUGAGGCAACAAGUGGUAGUUAGUGCAGAGUUAAAGAACCGUGCUGUUAAUCUGAAGCUUCAAAUCCUUGAAGUAAGAAAGCAGAAUACUCAAGCAUAUCCUGUCUAACUGCAUGCAAGUCCCUUAAAGAAAACUCAUUAGAUGAAUCAGUGUUGCAAACUUUGGAAAAAGUCAUUCUUGGUAGUGUUUAUUGUUAAAGCAUUAAAUUGGUGAAGGUUUUUAUUUUUUUUAUUUUUUUAUUUUUUGCAAUGCAAAUCCACUGUCUCUUGGAAAUUGCAUAAACUGAAACAAACCCAUUCAGAAAUUGCUAGUAAAUUUAAUUAGAAUCAGCAAGUAACACAAUGAAUUAAGCAUGACAUGUCUAACUUUUUGUAGCAUGUAGCCCAUCAGGUUUGAGCUGCACCACCAGCUCAAAUGUUUUGAUGUUUUGUGAAUGAAGAUAUUACUAUUGAUGGAUGUCUGGAAACUGUAAAAUGUUCAAUAAAUAAUAAUAAUAAAAAGCUUAGUUGUGCGCAGAUAAAGUUUUUCCUUGCCCUUGUGAACAGCUUGGCGUGCCACUUCUUCUCAGAAUUGCUGCACAGAUAGCUGGCCUUGUUAUCUUGUCACAACACUGUGUUAAAAAGCACAGUUAUAGGGUUUUCCAUGAAUUUGUUCCUUCACGGAUUUUGAAUAUCCAUUGAGUGACAAGUGAGACUCAUUGGGGAGCAGUGACUACAACACAGUGGCAGAGUUUGAAUGCUUUUGCAAUGCAGCGAGUCUGGUUAACAAGCCCUACACAAUCUGCUCUCUAAAAG
ensembl:lncRNA